rnacentral:tRNA from 1 species
GUCCGUGUAGCUCAGCGGUAGAGCAUUGCCUUCCUAAGGCAGGGGUCAUGGGUUCAAAUCCCUUCUCGGAUG